GCAGUGAGAGACAGAGAUCAGGCCUAUUGAAGAUGGGCAGUGAGAGACAGAGAUCAGGCCUAUUGAAGAUGGGCAGUGAGAGACAGAGAUCAGGCCUAUUGAAGAUGGGCAGUGAGAGACAGAGAUCAGGCCUAUUGAAGAUGGGCAGUGAGAGACAGAGAUCAGGCCUAUUGAAGAUGGGCAGUGAGAGACAGAGAUCAGGUCUACCCAGGCUCUCACCUACCUGCCUCACUCAAAGAUACUGUUUCUCAGUCAUUGGCUGGUUGCUUCUCUGAUCCGGUUCAUUCAUCCAAUUAAAACUCUGUUCAAAGGCCAAAACAUGACUGAUCUGAAAUGGCUGAGAG
rnacentral:lncRNA from 1 species